UGGUGGAGUGAUUUGUCUGGUUAAUUCCGUUAACGAACGAGACCUUAACCGGCUAAAUAGUCACACGAUUCUCGAAUCGUGACUGACUUCUUAGAGGGACUGUUGGUGUUUAACCAAAAGUCAGGAAGGCAAUAACA
rnacentral:rRNA from 1 species